ensembl:snoRNA SNORD12 small nucleolar RNA, C/D box 12
GCCAUUGCAGCUGAUGACUUAACUUUUUUCCCCAUCAGAUCGACCCUGUUGAUCCAACUGAAUUAUUAGCCAGUUUUGUCUGAUGCGUUGGC